AUCCCUUCUGGAAACGUGUUAUCUUGUGCACCAAAAAACUGCAUAACUGAUAUUGCCCAUAUAUACCUUGUACAUUGGAAAAUAAAUAGCGCUAAAGAAUAAGUCAGAUUUUGUGUUUCAUCCCUUGCCAGGGUCACCCGCAACCUGCCCCCAGCCUGCAUAUCUGACCGCUGCCAGCGGUACAGACGAACAGCGGUUCUCAGAUCCUCGCCACAAGGCACCCAAAGCGCAUCUCCAAGUUGUGCAUGAACAUCGCACAACUCUAAACAAGCAAAACAUACAGCAAACAUGCUUGGUCAAAGAAAAGAAGAUCUUACCUAUAAUAAAAAGAAUUUCCACUGAUAUAUCACUAACAGUUGUGCUUCUUGUUGAUGAAAGAUCAUCGUUGUCUACAAAGGAUACAUUGUAAGGUGACCGGAGAUGUGAUAAAGGACAGCCCGACUUCGUCUCCUUGCUGCCUCAAAAUGUGACCCUGCUUUUCCUCUGCUUCUGUAUUUUUCUGUAGAAUAAAUGUAACAAGCAAUUAAAUAUCAC